AUGAAGCCUUGGCUCGAGUUAGGCAUACCGGACUACAAGAAGUACUGGAGGAGGUUUCUCACUCGAGAUCAUCGAUUCAUGGAUGAGUGCAAUGUAAAGGAUGAUGUCUCGUUGUGUAAUUUGUUUGGUCUGAAGGGGCGCACUCAUUUGUUAUCCUGA
rnacentral:rRNA from 1 species